AGACCCGAAACCCGGUGAUCUAGCCAUGGGCAGGUUGAAGGUUGGGUAACACUAACUGGAGGACCGAACCGACUAAUGUUGAAAAAUUAGCGGAUGACCUGUGGCUGGGGGUGAAAGGCCAAUCAAACCGGGAGAUAGCUGGUUCUCCCCGAAAGCUAUUUAGGUAGCGCCUCGUGAAUUCAUCUCCGGGGGUAGAGCACUGUUUCGGCUAGGGGGCCAUCCCGGCUUACCAACCCGAUGCAAACUGCGAAUACCGGAGAAUGUUAUCACGGGAGACACACGGCGGGUGCUAACGUCCGUCGUGAAGAGGGAAACAACCCAGACCGCCAGCUAAGGUCCCAAAGUCAUGGUUAAGUGGGAAACGAUGUGGGAAGGCCCAGACAGCCAGGAUGUUGGCUUAGAAGCAGCCAUCAUUUAAAGAAAGCGUAAUAGCUCACUGGUCGAGUCGGCCUGCGCGGAAGAUGUAACGGGGCUAAACCAUGCACCGAAGCUGCGGCAGCGACGCUUAUGCGUUGUUGGGUAGGGGAGCGUUCUGUAAGCCUGUGAAGGUGGCCUGUGAGGGUUGCUGGAGGUAUCAGAAGUGCGAAUGCUGACAUAAGUAACGAUAAAGCGGGUGAAAAGCCCGCUCGCCGGAAGACCAAGGGUUCCUGUCCAACGUUAAUCGGGGCAGGGUGAGUCGACCCCUAAGGCGAGGCCGAAAGGCGUAGUCGAUGGGAAACGGGUUAAUAUUCCCGUACUUGGUGUUACUGCGAAGGGGGGACGGAGAAGGCUAUGUUGGCCGGGCGACGGUUGUCCCGGUUUAAGCGUGUAGGUGUGUGUUCCAGGUAAAUCCGGUUCACUUUAACACUGAGGCGUGACGACGAGGCACUACGGUGCUGAAGCAACAAAUGCCCUGCUUCCAGGAAAAGCCUCUAAGCAUCAGGUAACAUCAAAUCGUACCCCAAACCGACACAGGUGGUCAGGUAGAGAAUACCAAGGCGCUUGAGAGAACUCGGGUGAAGGAACUAGGCAAAAUGGUGCCGUAACUUCGGGAGAAGGCACGCUGACACGUAGGUGAAGUGAUUUACUCAUGGAGCUGAAGUCAGUCGAAGAUACCAGCUGGCUGCAACUGUUUAUUAAAAACACAGCACUGUGCAAACACGAAAGUGGACGUAUACGGUGUGACGCCUGCCCGGUGCCGGAAGGUUAAUUGAUGGGGUCAGCGCAAGCGAAGCUCCUGAUCGAAGCCCCGGUAAACGGCGGCCGUAACUAUAACGGUCCUAAGGUAGCGAAAUUCCUUGUCGGGUAAGUUCCGACCUGCACGAAUGGCGUAAUGAUGGCCAGGCUGUCUCCACCCGAGACUCAGUGAAAUUGAACUCGCUGUGAAGAUGCAGUGUACCCGCGGCAAGACGGAAAGACCCCGUGAACCUUUACUAUAGCUUGACACUGAACAUUGAGCCUUGAUGUGUAGGAUAGGUGGGAGGCUUUGAAGUGUGGACGCCAGUCUGCAUGGAGCCGACCUUGAAAUACCACCCUUUAAUGUUUGAUGUUCUAACGUGGACCCGUGAUCCGGGUUGCGGACAGUGUCUGGUGGGUAGUUUGACUGGGGCGGUCUCCUCCUAAAGAGUAACGGAGGAGCACGAAGGUUGGCUAAUCCUGGUCGGACAUCAGGAGGUUAGUGCAAUGGCAUAAGCCAGCUUGACUGCGAGCGUGACGGCGCGAGCAGGUGCGAAAGCAGGUCAUAGUGAUCCGGUGGUUCUGAAUGGAAGGGCCAUCGCUCAACGGAUAAAAGGUACUCCGGGGAUAACAGGCUGAUACCGCCCAAGAGUUCAUAUCGACGGCGGUGUUUGGCACCUCGAUGUCGGCUCAUCACAUCCUGGGGCUGAAGUAGGUCCCAAGGGUAUGGCUGUUCGCCAUUUAAAGUGGUACGCGAGCUGGGUUUAGAACGUCGUGAGACAGUUCGGUCCCUAUCUGCCGUGGGCGCUGGAGAACUGAGGGGGGCUGCUCCUAGUACGAGAGGACCGGAGUGGACGCAUCACUGGUGUUCGGGUUGUCAUGCCAAUGGCACUGCCCGGUAGCUAAAUGCGGAAGAGA
rnacentral:rRNA from 1 species